rnacentral:rRNA from 1 species
AUUGAACGCUGGCGGCAGGCCUAACCCAUGCAAGUCGAGCGAGCGGCGGACGGGUGAGUAAUGUAUGGGGACUGCCCGAUAGAGGGGGAUAACUACUGGAAACGGUGGCUAAUAGCGCAUACUAUCGGAAAACCCAUAUGGGAGUGGCUAGUAGGGUGGGUAAAGGGUCACCUAGGCGACGAUCUCUAGCUGGUCUGAGAGGAUGAUCAGCCACACUGGGACUGAGACACGGCCCAGUCUCCUACGGAGGCAGCAGUGGGGAAUAUUGCACAAUGGGCGCAAGCCUGAUGCAGCCAUGCCGCGUGUAUGAAGAAGGCCUUAGGGUUGUAAAGUACUUUCAGCGUGUAGGCGUUACCCGCAGAAGAAGCACCGGCUAACUCCGUGCCAGCCGCCGCGGUAAUAC